rnacentral:rRNA from 1 species
AUUGAACGCUGGCGGCAGGCUUAACACAUGCAAGUCGAGCGGAGAUGAGGUGCUUGCACAUUAUCUUAGCGGCGGACGGGUGAGUAAUGCUUAGGAAUCUGCCUAUUAGUGGGGGACAACAUUCCGAAAGGAAUGCUAAUACCGCAUACGUCCUACGGGAGAAAGCAGGGGAUCUUUGGACCUUGCGCUAAUAGAUGAGCCUAAGGCGGAUUAGCUAGUUGGUGGGGUAAAGGCCUACCAAGGCGACGAUCUGUAGCGGGUCUGAGAGGAUGAUCCGCCACACUGGGACUGAGACACGGCCCAGACUCCUACGGGAGGCAGCAGUGGGGAAUAUUGGACAAUGGGGGGAACCCUGAUCCAGCCAUGCCGCGUGUGUGAAGAAGGCCUUAUGGUUGUAAAGCACUUUAAGCGAGGAGGAGGCUACUGAGACUAAUACUCUUGGAUAGUGGACGUUACUCGCAGAAUAAGCACCGGCUAACUCUGUGCCAGCCGCCGCAGUAA